GAUGAACGCUGGCGGCGUGCUUAACACAUGCAAGUCGAACGAAGCAUUUAAGACAGAUUACUUCGGUUUGAAGUCUUUUAUGACUGAGUGGCGGACGGGUGAGUAACGCGUGGGUAACCUGCCUCAUACAGGGGGAUAGCAGCUGGAAACGGCUGGUAAUACCGCAUAAGCGCACAGUACCACAUGGUACAGUGUGAAAAACUCCGGUGGUAUGAGAUGGACCCGCGUCUGAUUAGAUAGUUGGCGGGGUAACGGCCCACCAAGUCGACGAUCAGUAGCCGGACUGAGAGGUUGAACGGCCACAUUGGGACUGAGACACGGCCCAGACUCCUACGGGAGGCAGCAGUGGGGGAUAUUGGACAAUGGGGGCAACCCUGAUCCAGCGACGCCGCGUGAGGGAAGAAGGUUUUCGGAUUGUAAACCUCUGUUGACGGAGAAAAAAAUGAUGGUAUCCGUUUAGAAAGCCACGGCUAACUACGUG
rnacentral:rRNA from 1 species